UGGGGAAUAUUGGACAAUGGGCGCAAGCCUGAUCCAGCCAUGCCGCGUGCAGGAUGACGGUCCUAUGGAUUGUAAACUGCUUUUUGUACAGGAAGAAACAGUUCUACGUGUAGAACCUUGACGGUACUGUAAGAAUAAGGAUCGGCUAACUCCGUGCCAGCAGCCGCGGUAAUACGGAGGAUCCAAGCGUUAUCCGGAAUCAUUGGGUUUAAAGGGUCCGUAGGCGGUUAGAUAAGUCAGUGGUGAAAGCCCAUCGCUCAACGGUGGAACGGCCAUUGAUACUGUCUGACUUGAAUUAUUAGGAAGUAACUAGAAUAUGUAGUGUAGCGGUGAAAUGCUUAGAGAUUACAUGGAAUACCAAUUGCGAAGGCAGGUUACUACUAAUGGAUUGACGCUGAUGGACGAAAGCGUGGGUAGCGAACAGGAUUAGAUACCCUCGUAGUCCCUGAGCGGGCUGGCAAGGCGCAU
rnacentral:rRNA from 1 species